rnacentral:rRNA from 1 species
GACGAACGCUGGCGGCGUGCUUAACACAUGCAAGUCGAGCGGGAUCCAACCGGUGGCAACACCGGGGAAGAUCUAGCGGCGAACGGGUGAGUAACACGUGAGCAACCUGCCCCGAAGACUGGGAUAACACCGGGAAACCGGUGCUAAUACCGGAUGUCGUCAUUAGGCCGCAUGACCUGAUGAUGAAAGGAUUCAUCGCUUCGGGGAGGGGCUCGCGGGCUAUCAGCUGGUUGGUGGGGUAACGGCCUACCAAGGCGACGACGGCUAGCUGGUCUGAGAGGACGACCAGCCACACUGGGACUGAGACACGGCCCAGACUCCUACGGGAGGCAGCAGUGGGGAAUCUUGCGCAAUGGGCGAAAGCCUGACGCAGCAACGCCGCGUGGGGGAUGAAUGCCUUCGGGUU